rfam:Asian citrus Psyllid, Diaphorina citri - Florida Strain, whole genome shotgun sequence.
GUCCAGUUAGCGUGUUGGUAGCGCGUCUGUCUUGUAAGCACAAAGUCGCGGGUUCGGUUCCCGCCCGGGGACG